UUUUCAGUUCAGCAGCAUUUCAAGUUGAUUCAUCGAUGAGAUUUGAAUGGAAUGGAGCUCUUAUUUAUAGAUGGAAAGGCAAGGCAAGUGUGAUUCAAUCCGUGUGCAUGGAAUUGGAUAUUCAUUGCAUGGGCUUGCAUGAUCAUGCAAAAGGCCCAAAUUCAAUGCCAAAUGCAAUCUAAAAUGAAUGUGAGAUGAUUUGGACACGUAGUUUGGAGUGAAAUGGCUUGUGC
rnacentral:lncRNA from 1 species